AUUGAACGCUGGCGGCAGGCCUAACACAUGCAAGUCGAACGGUAACAGGAAGAAGCUUGCUUCUUUGCUGACGAGUGGCGGACGGGUGAGUAAUGUCUGGGAAACUGCCUGAUGGAGGGGGAUAACUACUGGAAACGGUAGCUAAUACCGCAUAACGUCGCAAGACCAAAGAGGGGGACCUUCGGGCCUCUUGCCAUCGGAUGUGCCCAGAUGGGAUUAGCUAGUAGGUGGGGUAACGGCUCACCUAGGCGACGAUCCCUAGCUGGUCUGAGAGGAUGACCAGCCACACUGGAACUGAGACACGGUCCAGACUCCUACGGGAGGCAGCAGUGGGGAAUAUUGCACAAUGGGCGCAAGCCUGAUGCAGCCAUGCCGCGUGUAUGAAGAAGGCCUUCGGGUUGUAAAGUACUUUCAGCGGGGAGGAAGGGAGUAAAGUUGAUACCUUUGCUCAUUGACGUUACCCGCAGAAGAAGCACCGGCUAACUCCGUG
rnacentral:rRNA from 1 species